CUGUUGCAGGUAGGAAGGUGUAGUCGCCAAGCUAAAAAUAACGCCGAACCGCACGCGACCAGGCGGUGCGGGAAGCGGGGUGGCCUCCACCCACUGCGCCGACACCCUGUCCCCGCCGGGCAGUCCCAGCCAGCGUCUGAGCGGAGAGGGCGCAGGCUGAGGAGCUAGAGCGAGACCCCGCAGGCAGGCGGCGAGGAGCGGGGAGGCACUGGGGCUGCGAGUCUCCUGCCCUCGGCCUGCUGGGCAUCUGCGACGGCAGAGAAGGAGCGCGGCUGCGAGUGGGCGAGUGCACCUGCCCCUCCGCCGCCGCCUGCGCAGAGACUGACGCUUUGCAAUGCCCAGUCCGAGCCUCUCAGCCAGAAGGGGUGUACAAAGUGCAGAUGCCCCCAGGCGCUUCCCUUCGGGCCCAGCGGUUCCUGCCCUCCCCUGCUGGAGAAAAAACGCAGGAGGCAGCGGCGGCGGCGGCGGCGGCGGCAGCAUCUUGUCCUCUACCUUGGUCUGCGCUGGUCCCCAGAGGCAAGCCCUUGGUUAGUGUUAACUGCUCUUCUUGGGGAGCCUCCAGAGUAGAUUCCCUGAAGCCACAGGUCGGUUUCUUCCCUGCUGCGGCUACCACGUGACUACAGAUCUUACUUCUCCUAGCUUUGCUUCUGCAACCCUUUGGUUGCCUCAGGUGACUGGAAACAUUAUCACUUGCUGGUAGACUUCAAAUAAUGGUCAAAGAAAAUAAAUGUAAGAAAUCAUUUCAAAAGAAUAUUUUUAGUAUUUGAAAGAUAACCUGAAUAGAAAAGUGCACAAGUCUUAUGUAUACAACCUGAUGAGUUUUCACGAAGUGAGCAUUGUCAACAAGCAUGUUUGAGUGUUUAUUACAUCUAGACAUAAUCCCUGAGGAAAUUACAAAUAAUACACUUUUAUUCUUGAAAAGGACAUUGGUGCCGAGGACUUUCCUCCCCAAGGACCUUGAAAUAUUUAGGCUAUUUGUAAAAACAUCCCAGUUUUAUUUACACAAUAAAAAUUUCUUGGAUCAUA